UCCAGUUUUUUCUAUGUUUAUUUACUCUUACCUGUGCUUUUAAUUUAUUAACCUCUGUGCAUAUGUUGACUAUGAAUAAGAUUGCAUUAUGGUUUAUGCCUCUGCUGCUGAUUCUGAUGAAAAGGAAUGUUAUUGUUUGAUUUGAAAAUUUAUCUAUGAAAUCUUAUCGACAUUGACAACAAUGAAUUUGGUUAUGAUACUUGAAUACAAUAAAAUCAAAAUCGAUUUUUAUUCUUAAUAUUUCAAACACUAUCGUGGUUCACUUGAGAUUGAUUUUUGAAGCAAUUGAACUGUUCCGUCCCAGAUUGAGUAGACUUUAUGCCUUGACUGCAUGAGGGUAUUGUCUGAUAGGCUUGAUAAGGAGGUUGAAAAUGUUAACAGGGACAUUGAAGCAUAUGAGGCCUGUCUUAAACAUUUGGAGGGGGAAGCUAGAGAUGAUUUUAGUGAGGCUGACUUUCUCAAGGAGAAAUUGAAGGAAAAUUGGAAUCGAGCAGCACAAAUCUAAAAGCUGAAUGGUUGAAUUUGCUUUGAUUUAAUGACUCAAUGUUGCUGCAUCUAGAUUCGGAUACUAUGAAUUAGACUUUGUAGUACUCUUUUCUUUAUUGGAGAGAAUGAAUUUAGGGAGGGUUUGGUUUUCUUCUGAAUGGAGCUGAAAUUAUUUCCUUGAUUUGAGUAAUUAAUAAUAAUAAUUAAGUUCUACUGCCUGUGCAACCUGUAACUGAAAACAACGCCAAUCUGAAGACAUGCUUCUUUCAUGUUCUCUUCAAGGUUUGGUUUAUCUGAUUAUGAUCUCUUUGCAUAUCUUCCUAUGA